GGGCUGCUGGGAUUACAGGUGUGCACCACCGCGCCCGGCCUGAACUCCAGCAAGAGCUGGGCUCCCUGGAGGCAGGUGGGUAGAGAACUUGGGGGCUGCUGUUUUCUCAGCUCAGUGCUCUGUGAUAGACAGGGCCACUGACCCAAAAAACUGUCUCUGUCCCCAACUUACAUGUGGCCUCGGACGCCCUAGUGAUUCAGAAGUACCUGGACCCAAUGCUGUCUGUGGCCCUUUUCCUCUGCCACCCCGAGGCCCAGCUCCGACCCCCCUGGAGAUGAGGAAACUGUGGAUGGUACCGUUAAGUGCAUGGUCCAAGGUCACACGGCUAAUGCAUGUCUGGAUUCCACUCUCUCCCCAUCUCUUCUCGGCUCCCUCAGGUCAAAGCCACCACCAUCUCUCAGCCAGAAAAAGUCAAAGGCCUCCUGACUGGCCUCCGGGCCUCCACAGCCGCCGCCCUCUAAUCCAUUUCCACCGAGAAGCCUGAACGAUCUUUAAGAUGAAUAGAAACGCCAAACUGUGCAUGAACCAGGCCCUGUCCUAGGUGCUAGAGAUACGGCAGUGAGCGCUGUGUUCGCGGGUCUGUGGAUUCCUGCUGCUCAUGGGAUAAAGUUCCCAAUAUAGGGCUGAGGGUGGCCCAGCGGCUCCCUAAGUGCUUAGCACGUAGCAGGCCCCGGGUUCCAUCCCAGCACCUUCUCCCCAGAGUCAAAGCACUAAGUGCUGAGGUGGUGCUGGGAUGGUGGCAGCUGUCUGGGGGGACAGUGCUGGGAUGGGGGCAGCCGUCUGGGGGGACAGUGCUGGGAUGGUGACAGCCGUCUGGGGUACAGUGCUCAAUGUCUAUAGAGACUAGAACAAAUUGAAGGAACCAACUCAACGUUCUUCCUCAUCUCCCUGUGACAGCGAUUCUCCAUCAUCACAUGCAGUGGUUCCUCCUGAGGUGGAUUCCUUGGGUCACAUCGGCCUCAAUCCGAGAGCAGUUAGAAGACUCAGCUCUUAGCAAACAGUGUCAGCAACCAACCCGGCAGCCAUCCACCCGGAGCAACCAAACUGUGAGGUGAAGCGGACCCUGAGAGUCACAGCUAGACCCCACCCGAGCACCGCGCGGUCGGCAAUUUUGACACGACGGUAAUCAAAAGUCCUCCCUACUUGACCCCAUAUGAUUCAUCACCCAUCCUGGGGAGCUUUGGAGACUGAACGUGGUGCUACUCAUAAAGGUGCCCAGGAGGUCACCUGGGGUCACACUCGGAAGACAGGUAGGUGCAAACUGAGAGACCCAAUGCUCUACCUGUGAGACUGUGGGAACCGCCCCGCCCACCCCGCUAACCUAACACCUGGACAGUUUCUGCUUCAUUUAGCAAGAGGUCCACUCAUUAGCCACAAAUAUUCUGUUCCCACCUUCUUUUCACCCUGAGGCUUUGCCUGAGACUUGAAGAAGGAGACUAGUUCAGGGAGGGGGACAGGACAUUACAGCCACAGGGAGCACCACGUCUAGGGGCUUCAGAUACCUGUGGGGGUCCUCUUUCCAGACAUGCAGACCAUGGGAACUCCAUAGGUUCUGGGUGGAAAGGUCAUGUCCCAGAGAGGCCCCCCCCAUCCGGGCAGAGGAGGUCUUUCCCUCACCUCAUUUCUCACAUCUGUUUGGCUGUGGGUGUGGUUACUAUUGUAUGACCCUCUCCAGCCCCAACAGGCUCCUCCCUGGACGCCGUGGGAGCUGUCUCUGAUUUGUUCACGGUGUACCCCCAAUGCCCGACACAGUGCCCAGCCCCCAGCGAGCACUCAAGGACACACCCACUAGAUACUGGUCAAAAGGAGGGGUGCCUGGUGGAGCCCAGACGCACAUCUGGGCUGAGUGGAAGGUCCCUGCUCUUCCCAUCCCCCCGACGGCAGGACUUCCAGCUGGUGGGAAAAGCAGAUUAUAUCAGAGCAAGGGAGCCUGCUUCUCAGAGGAGGCCAAGGCCAGGAUCAGUGGGAAAGAAUCAGGUAGAAGCCAGGGAUCCAGAGGUGCCAAUUCCCUUCCAGGAGGCAGAUGUGACCCGAGGAUUCCGCCCCCCGGAGGAGUCACCAGGGCUUCCGACGGCUCGGUUCCAUUAGAAGAAUUGUAGCAGGUGCAAAAACCGGAGAUUAUCCCAAGAAUUAAGAUAUGAAAAGCAUGUUAGAUCACUAAACUCCAAUUAGGGAAAUUAAAUCGUGUGCACUCCCCUCCUGAUGCAAUAUCGGGAGCUUGCAUUAGCUCUGGGCUCCGGUUCUAAUAAAAUUAGAGAAUAACACUUUAAUUGAAUUGUGCUUAAGAGGAUCAUGCUGACAAAUUUGAUUGUAUCUGGCCGGGAUGCACACCUUCCCCAGCAAUCAUUAAAUCCAAUGAAAUGCCAGUCUCCGGAUCUUGACAGUUUUCUGAAACAAUCUGUGAACCGUGCUGUAUCUUGGAAUAUCUAAUCAAUUUAGAGCUGCCUCAUUAGGACUUGGCUGCUAACGGAUACUUAAAAAUCAAAGCAAAUUACUGCACUCCAUGGAUAACUAGCUAAUCAUAUCGAUACAACAUGGCUGGAUUGUGUUGCAACAAUUCAUUUCCUCUUUAAGAAGCCACUGUCACCUAUAAUUUAGGGAUUGAGAUUCAUAAGCCCUCUGCAAACAGCUCCAAUGUCAAGGAUUUUCCUAAGCCUGGGACCAAGAGGUGCAUGCCCCCCACCCCAGCUAAUGGGGGUAAGCCAGCGCCGACUCCCAUCAUUCAUGCCCUACUUAUUCCCUGAGCUCAUUCCUGGAUAUUGAGUGUAAGACUCUAUUGUAUAAAUGAAGGCUCAGAGAUAGGUAGCAUCUUUCCUAAGAUCACACAGCAAAUGAGUGGCCAAGCCAGGAUUUGGUCCUUUUUUGACAAUACAUCAUAUUUUCUAAUAUAAUUUUAAUAUCAAUUUAAAACAGUAAUUAUUCUUUUGCUCAUAGUUUAAUUGGGUCUUACUUUAAUAUACUUACUAAUGAUGAACUUAUUCUAUUUUUACUCAGAUGAUGACCUACCAUCCUAAUUAUGAUUCUAAUAGCCUAUACUUACAUAGGACUUAUUAGGAAUAUAAUUCAUUUAAUUACCUCAGCAUCCCUAGAGGUGUUUCUAUGAUAAUUGUGGUAGGCCUUAAUGUCACUCACCAGAUACUUCCUGUGCUUCUGGCCCCUUGUGGUUGGAUGAGCUGGGAGACUACUUCCAGCCCUGGGUUACGUACAGAAGGGACCUGUGUCAUUUACAGGCCAGAUCAUCCCAUGGUUGGUCCAAGAUCUGCCAUUCUUUCUCCCCUUCAGUUUCAUCAACUAUCAACAUUUGAGCCUUUUGAUGCUCCAAACGUGACAAGCAGAGGGCUACAGUUUACAUCUGGAGUGUCCCCCAAGGCCCCUGUGUUAAGGGUGUGGUCCCCUGCUUGGUGCUAUCCAGAGGUGGUGGAGGCUUUAAGAGGCGGGGCCUGGUGGCAGGUGGGGCCUAGUCACUGGGACCCCGGCCCCUCCUCUUCCUCUCCUUUGCACAUCCCAGCCUCAAGACGGAGGAGCUUUCUCUCUCUGCCCUGCCUGUCAGGAUGGGCCCCAGAGCUGACUUUGGACUGACUCUUGUCAAACUGUGAGCCACAGUAAAAAUGUCACACUUUACAAGUU